UACGUAGGGGGCAAGCGUUGUCCGGAAUCAUUGGGCGUAAAGAGCGUGUAGGCGGCUCGGUAAGUCCGCUGUAAAAGUCCAGGGCUCAACCCUGGAAAGCCGGUGGAAACUGUCGAGCUAGAGUCCGGAAGAGGAGAGUGGAAUUCCUGGUGUAGCGGUGAAAUGCGCAGAUAUCAGGAAGAACACCCGUGGCGAAGGCGGCUCUCUGGGACGGUACUGACGCUGAGACGCGAAAAGCGUGGGGAGCGAACAGG
rnacentral:rRNA from 1 species